AUACGGAGGGUGCAAGCGUUAAUCGGAAUUACUGGGCGUAAAGCGCACGCAGGCGGUUUGUUAAGUCAGAUGUGAAAUCCCCGGGCUCAACCUGGGAACUGCAUCUGAUACUGGCAAGCUUGAGUCUCGUAGAGGGGGGUAGAAUUCCAGGUGUAGCGGUGAAAUGCGUAGGGAUCUGGAGGAAUACCGGUGGCGAAGGCGGCCCCCUGGACGAAGACUGACGCUCAGGUGCGAAAGCGUGGGGAGCAAACAGGAUUAGAUACCCUGGUAGUCCACGCCGUAAACGAUGUCGACUUGGAGGUUGUGCCCUUGAGGCGUGGCUUCCGGAGCUAACGCGUUAAGUCGACCGCCUGGGGAGUACGGCCGCAAGGUUAAAACUCAAAUGAAUUGACGGGG
rnacentral:rRNA from 1 species